rnacentral:misc_RNA from 1 species
ACACCCUCAAGCUCUGCUUGGUGUUGGGCGUCUGUCCCGCCUCUGCGCGUGGACUCGCCCCAAAGUCAUUGGCAGCGGUCUUUGCCUCCUCUCGCGCAGCACAUUGCGCUUCUAGAGCGACGGCGGCCCGCGUCCACGAAGCACUUCUUGUCU